rnacentral:rRNA from 1 species
GACGUAGGGCGCGAGCGUUAUUCGGAAUUAUUGGGCGUAAAGGGCGCGUAGGCGGUCUGACAAGUGGAAGGUGAAAAUCCCCCGCGCUUAACGUGGGAACUGCCUUCCAAACUGUUUGACUUGAGUCCGGGAGAGGUGAGUGGAAUUCCUAGUGUAGAGGUGAAAAUUCGUAGAUAUUAGGAAGAACACCGGUGGCGAAGGCGGCCCACUGGCUCGAUACUGACGCUGAGGUGCGAAAGCGAUGGG